rnacentral:lncRNA from 1 species
UUCAAACUGGACACUAAAUCAAUAUGAGUAUGCGUAUUUAAGCAUUCUAGAAAAGAUUUUAAUCUCAAUUAAUGUACUAGCUAGAAAAUGUUUGAUGCCCUCUGAAGGAGCCUCCUAAAGUUGAUUAAUAAUCAUACUCUUUGUUGUGUUCUUCGCUAAGAAACCUGCGCAAGAGUUGGACUCCCUGCAACAGAAACAAUCUCCGGCAACAGAAACAAUCUCCUCCGUCGUGAAUCCCAGCAGCUUCAGCCUCUACGCCGUGACCAACAGCUUCCCAACACCCUUGUAACUUCAUCCUCUCACCGGCAACAGAAACAAUCUCGCCAACGCCAACCUCUUCUUCCAGCAGCACCAGCCUCUUCAGACCAGCCCCGACAGCCGCCAGCUUCACCACUAACAGCUCCACCGUAAGCCGCCAGCAGGAUCGCCAGGCAGCAACACCCCAUCAAGCCCAGGUAAGCUUUUUCGUCCCUUCCCUCCUGCAUUUUUUUGCUUUCCUAUUACACAUGAAUUAAUUCAUGUUCUGCAGAAGAAAAACAAGACGGACUAGACCCGUUUCAGUCAAGUAAGUAAAGAUGGUUGGGCUGUCAGUCGGCCCAACCCAAUCCGACCGGGCUGGGCUUGGACUUCGAGUCUAAACAGCCCAAUUUAAAAAAAAUUAAGGAAAAGUUUUAAAUUUUCCAAAAACCACUUUAAAAUUAUUUGUGGAUCAAUCAAAUAUUUUUCCAAUAAUUUUUUUUAAUAUCAAGUCAUAGAUUUACACUGUAAGAUACGGACUCGUAUAAAAAAUAUAUAAUUUUCCUCCAAUAAAUAAAUAAACUUCAUUUUCAAAAACAAAAAAAAGUGUUGUUUUUGUGAAUACGACCAAAUCCUAAAAGUUUUUCAUGCAUAUUUUCUAAAAAAGAAGAAGAUAAAAUUACAUUUUUAUCAUGUUUUAAGAAAUGCAAAAAUGGAUAUCGUAAUCAAUUUAUAAUUAUCCAUUAGGGUUUGACUAAAAUACCAAAAAUCUCAUAAUUAUUAGUUUGUUAUUCGGAAUAUUAGGAAAUAGUUAUAUCUAGGGGUGUUCAUGGUCCGGUUCGGUCCGGUUUUAACAUAAAAAACCAACCGAACCGAAAAAUACUAUUCCUUGUUAAUAUAACCCGAACCGAACCGAGAACCGGUUCAAACCGAACCGGUUUUGUUUGGUUCGGGUCGGUUUUUUAGCCUUAGAAACCAGAAAAACCGAAACAAAUUAAAUAAGAGAAAACUUGGCCGAAUCACAAUCACUGGACAAACUUGGCCGAAUCACAUUCAAAAAAAUCGUUGUUGAAAACUUUGAAUCCAAGCCCUUCUGUUGAGAUUUGAAAGAUCUCCAUUAGCUGAAUUACAAUCACUAGAUCUAUCCAAGCAAGCACAACUACAUGUUAACAAAGAUUCCAAUAGCAUCCCGCAAAGGCGCAAACUACCGGGACCUCGCUAGCACAACUGCAUGUUAAUAAAACCAGAAACAAGGAUUUUAUCCAAGUUUUCUGCCAUAAAGUAAAGCAAAGAGUAGAAAAGCAACAAUAUGAGAGAAAAUGAGUUGCUUUAAGUAUUCCUUGUGCACAGAGGAGAGAGAGAGAGAGAGGGGUGGAGUGAUUGGAAAAGGGAGAAAGGGGAAGGGGAAGGGGGGGAGGGAGAGAUAGGUGGGGUGGCUGAAAUGGAAAGGGGGAAAAGGGAAAGGGGAGAGAGCGGGGAGGGAGGGAUAGAUGGGGUGGCUGGAAUGGAAAGUGAGAAAAGGGAAAGGGAAAGGGAAGGGGGCGGUUGGAAAUGUAGGGUUAUGUUAGGGUAUUUAUUAUUUAGGUUUAGUUUUCUUUUAUACUUUUUUUUAGAUUCAAUUAAACCGGUUCAGUUUGGUCCGGUUCAAUCGGUUUAAACCUUUUUAAACCGGAACCGAACCGGACCGGGUGGUUUUUUUUAUUUUUUAAUCGGUUUAUUCGGUUUUUUCUAUCGGUUCGGUUUUUUCGGUUAAUUUUUUCUCGGUUUUUUCGGUUUAAUCGGUUGGUCGGUUUUUUUGAACACCCCUAGUUAUAUCUAAGAAAUAAAUGCAUUGCUAAAUCUGGACUUUAUAUGUGAAGAGAGAUCUGCCUUGAACCUUAAACAAAACCAACGCAUAGAAACAUGACGUAGAAAAACAAUCGACAAGCAAUGCAGCUUAUCUUAGGUAGGGUGUACUGGGGUGAUGUGUAUUUUCCAUGCACAACUAGUCUUCUUACCCAAACUCUCGUAGACCAAUAAGUUUCUUGGGCUAUGUUUGUUUCCUGGAAAGUGGUUUCCGGAAAACCACUUUCCAAACUUUCCUGUGUUUGUUUGCCAUUAGGAAAGUUGGUCAACGAAAAACACUUUCCAGUUAAAGGAAAAUUUGGUUUGGUUUCCAGAAAAGUGUUUUCCUAGAAAAUUUGGGCGGAAAACACUUUCCAGAAGUUGUGAAAAAUUUAUAAAUGUCAUAUUAUUUACUGAUUAUAUCAAAUUUGGUCCUCAAACUUUUGAUUGGUGUAUAUAUAUAUAUAUAUAUAUUGUUUUGAAUAUUUAUUUUUCAAUUUCAUUUCUUAAAAUUUAAUUUUUAUAUUAACUUUGGUUCUCAUUUUUAUAAUUGUUAUUUGUUUUUUCCUUAUCAUUUUUUUAUUAAACUUUUUUAUCUAUCAAAUUUGAUCCUCAUUUUUUUUAUUGUUACUUAUUUUAUUUGAAAUAAUUUAUGAAAUGUUAAUUAUUAUUAUUUUAAUUUCUUCAUCUUUCAUUUUUUUUUAUUUUUUAGAUUUGAUCUCUAUUAUUUUGAUUAUUAUCUAUUUUAUUUGAGAUAAUUUAUGAAAUUAUAUUUUUUUUCAAGUUCAUUCUCAUUCAACUUUUUAAUUUGUAAGAUUUGUUCCUCAUUAUUUUAAUAAAAUUUAGAAAAAUAAAACAUUAAUAAGUUAUUUUCCAGGUCAUUUUCCAUGACAUAACCAAACACUGGAAAGUGUUUUUCAACUUAUUUUCCAUUACACUACCAAACAUCAAAAAAUAAUUCACUUUCCCAGAAUUCACUUUCUAAAAGGAAACUACUUUCCAGCAAAAAAACAGAGCCUUUGUAAUCAUAAUACCAGGUGGCGACUCCUGAACUCCAUAAUCAUAACUUUAUGAUUAAACCCAAAACUCCCUUUAACUUCCAGGAGGCAACUUCGCCAUGCAAUGUUGUGCACGUCACGACAAGUCCGCACAUGUUGGUGACUCCUCCCAACUAGGGUUCUUAUAUGAUGUGCAUAAAAACUAACACUACCCUGUUAACAUAGGUAUUCUGACUAGCAUACCAUAUGUUCAUCAAACAAACAGAAUCAUAUAUCAAGGCUCAACUCAUAUAAUCAAUCAAAUGAGAAGCUAUCAAUUUAAAAAUCAAUUCAUAAGUACAUAUUUGCUCAUAUCAAGAAUUCAGUAUCAAGAAUUCAGUCUCAACAAUUGAUCAUGUUUUAUCAUAGAUAAGAAAUAAUAAGCGAUAUGUUAAUUACCAAGAUACAUGAUCAAUUUCAUACUAACAAUUCAAGUAUUUAUACUGCUACUCUAGCAUAUGGAAUAUUAUUCACUUACUUGACUCAAAAGCAUAACAAGCAUAUAAACAAAUAUCCAAGGAAAUCUUGUUGAUGCCCAGUAGGUAGAGUGUCAAGAGUAUAUGAAUACAAAAGAAGACAUACUAAAAAACAAUUAGAAAAGAAUGUACAAUCUAUUUACUAUAUUUAACUUAGGUUCUAACCCAUAACCCUAUACAUUUAGGAAUAAAACAUAAUUAUAAACUGAAAUCGGUCAACCCAAUCGAUCCCAAACAUAACCUAAAUUGACCGAAAUUAAAAGAAUUAUCUAACUUUACUGUCAGGUCAAUCGAUCUACCGGUUCAACCUAACUAGUCAACCAAAACCAUCUAGGACAAACCGGUCGGCCAAAAUCUAUCAAUUGGUUGACCGUAAUACAACACACCAACUGAUCUACAGGUUCUACCCAACCAGUGGACCAAAAUCUAGCAGCCUAAACAAUCGACCGAUUCAGACAAAUCGAUCGACCAGUUCAUUGGAAUUCCAGAUUCCCGAUCACCAAUCUUAACAAUGGUAGAUCCUAAUUUCAAUAAAAAUCUAAAAAAAUCCAUAACCAUACAUUAAACCCAUAUGAAAUAACCUAUAACACUUAAAUCAACCCAUCACAUUAUAAUCAAUCCAUCAACUUAUACCCAAUUCAUCAAUAAAUCUCUAAAAUACAAUUCAAAUCCUAAACUUUAACAAAACCCAAAACCGAAACCAAUAACAUCAAUUAUACACAUUAAAUCAUAAAUCUCACCUCAAAAAAUAAGUUUCCAAAUCCUUCUCUCUUUUCUCCUUUUCUUCUUCUGCCUUUCUUUCUCCACUCCUAGUUCUCUCUCUAAAUUUUUAGAUUUUUCUUCUUUUUAUUUUUUUAGUUUUAAGUCUCCAAGGGCACUGUUGCUUUUUCUUAUUAAUUCUUUCGCUUUUUAUUUUUCAAAACAUCACACCUUCACAUGGACAUCAUAAACCAAAAACUUUAUAUCUAUAUCUUUCACUUCUUCAGCAUCAUUUUCAUCAUCCUCAUUGAGUUUUAAUGGUUGAUUCCAAUCCAUAAAGGAAUUAGAAUUAUCAAAACUUUUAGUUUUAACAUCAUUUUUAUCCUAAUCAGGAAUUGCUUCCUCUGUUUAUGUCUUUUAUACAGGUUUUCAAAAUUAAUCAUGGAUCUGUGAUUACUCUUCUCACGAUCUUCUAGGCUUUUCACUGAUGUCAAUCGACGAGUAAAUUUUAUAAUUUGUCUCUGCAUGUCUUUAAUCACCAGUUUCUGGACCCUUCUUUUCAAUUUUAUAAUUUAUUUCUACAUGUCUUCUAUCUUCAAUUCCUGAACAUCUUCUUAUCGAGAGGAACCUCCCCAUCCCUUUCUAUAUGAGCACACCAUUUUUUUCUAUUUCUUCUAGCCAUGAUUAUUCCAGCACAUAACAAGUAAAUAUCCACUAGGAUCGUUGAGCUAUGAUACCAACUAACAUAGACAAAAACACAAAUAAGAAGACAACAAGCUAGAAAGAUAAAAUUAAAGCAUAAUAGGGUUGUCACACAUAACUCUAAUUCAUAAUUUUAUUUCUGAGAAUAAAAGUUUGAUAUAUUCUACUAAAAUACAAGCAAAACAAUACUAUUUAUACUAGUCUUAAGUCUAGCUUGAAGAGUUAAAGAAUCCUAAUCAAUAACUACUGAGUUAGUUUAGGGAUUCCUAAACUAUAAAGUAAAAAAUAAAAUUAUCAUUAUCAAAAUUUGAUUUCCUAAACUAAAUAAAAAAAUUAAAACAUCAUAAAGUAAAAUAUUUUCUUAGAUUAAUAGAAAAUAAUUAACAAAAAACUAAAGGAGAAAGGGAUUUUAAUGUACUCAUCCUUACAAAACACUAUUCAUUUCAAUAGUUUUUUUUUUGCCUUUAGUUUUUUUAUUUUUUUAAAUCUAUGUUUCUUUCUCUAAUUUCAUACUUGAACAUUUGGUUUAUUGGAGAUUAGACUUUAAAAUUUAUUGUGGUUUGCGUUAAACAUUAACUUGGUCGGGUUAACUCAAUUGACUCGAGUUUUUUUUGUCUCUUUUUAAUUGUUAUUUUUUUUUAAUUUCAUUCUUUAACAUAAGGUUGAUUAAGAAUUAUGUUUCAUAAUUUAUUUUGAUUUAUUUUCCAUGAGGUUAUCUCGAUUUCAUGACUCAGGUCACGAGAAUGACGAUUAACUCGAGUUUUUUUUUAAUUGGUAUUUUUUCAAUUUCAUCCUUCAACAUUUGGUUGAUUAGGAAUUAAGUUUCAUGAUUUAUUUUGAUUUGCUUUCUAUAAGGUUAUCCUGGUCUUAUAAUUUGGAUCACGUGUUUCGUGGGUUAGCCUGGGUAGAUUCAUGUUAUUUUAUUGUCCUAUUUUUAAAUUGAAAUUUUUUCAAUUUUAUCAUUCAACAAUGAGUUUAUUGAAAACUGGGCUUCAUAAUUUGUUAAUCACGAGUUUGGCAGGUUGACUCGGGUCAUUUUUUAUGUUUACUUUCUAUGAAGUUAUCUCUAUCUCAUGACUCAGGUCAAGAGUUUAGUAGAUUAACUCAUGUCGAUUCUUGAAUUUUUGUGAGUGAAACUAUGUUUUUACUGAUUAUCCGGAUUGUUUUUGGACCCAUCAAGUCAAUCAGGUUAUAUCUAGUUAAGUUCCAUAUGAUUUAAAUAUUGUUUUUUACUAGAAAAAUAUUACCAGGCACAUUGUUUUUUCAUAUUAAAAAAUUGUGAUUCGACAAGCAGCCAACAAACUAAUAAUAACUAAAAAAUAAUAUUUUUCAAAAAAUCUUCCUGCAUCGAAUUUGUUUUUGCUUAUAUGACGAGUCUCAACGUGAAAUCUAACGAACUGCAUACUGUACCAAGCAGUGAGAACUAGAACUUGUCCUUGCCGGUUAAAACUCAUUUCUUGCUUGAUCUAGCGUGAAGAGGGGUCAUCACCCACAUCCGAAGUUGUCUACCCAUCACUGCUACUUGAAUGCCAGUAACUCUAAUCCAGUGUCAUGUCCAUUGCAGAAAUUUAAUGUAAUUGCAGAAUUGAAAUUUAAAGGUCAUUUUUUUUUAUUAACCAAUUCAUUUUUCAUUACAUAAAUAUCAUUCUACGGCUAGAAAACUAAACUCAUUAAUUAUCACAUAAUAUCUUUUUGAUUCCUCACGAAUUGAGGGUUUGAAAUGAAAGGCUCUUCUUGCCAUCUUGUAUUUAGAAUACUCAGCUUAUAAUUUAUAGUAUUCAUUGGCAUGAGUCCGAGAAAUUAAUGGUGAAGUCAGGAAG